AGCUUGGUGGCAUGGAGUACAUCUGCUUUCCUGUGCAUCUCUCAUUGCCAUCCGUCUUCAGGACUUCAUGGGGCACAGCUGGAACUCUGGAGUGUGAAACACUAACUCUCCAUCCCCUCCUCCUCCUCCUCCUCCCGGCCCUGGCAUCCACCAUUCUAUUCUCUGUGUCUACGGAUUUGACUGCUGUGGGCACCUCAUGCCGAAACAAAAAUGCAGCCAAAGGAACCCGAUUGUCAUUGACAGAAGAAAAAGAGCUGCAAGCCAAAACAUGCAAAACCAGCCUCUCAUUGAGGAGAAAGUGAAAAAUCCAGAAUGAGCUGGAAGGGGAGGGCCAAGAACUCGCAGGAGCCCAGCGCCCUUGUGUGAAUCGGAAGCUCUCCUUAGCCUGGCGCCUCUGCCCACAGCCCCGUGCCACCCACAGGAGGUGCCGCCCUGCACCUGGGCCGGGUGAUGGCAUCCCCGUCAGACCUCGGCUGCUCUACCGUCUGGGCCCCUGGCCUCUGCCCACCUGUCUGAGCCUGAAGCUGGUUCUUGGCUCAGCGUGCCCGUCUGGCGUAGCCUGAGCCCUUGCUCCCUCCCUGCCAAGCCCUCCAGUUUGGAAGCAGAGGCAGGAGGGCCAGGGGCGGGGGCGGGGGUGGGGGAUCUUGUGGUUGGUUAGCUGCAGGGUGCUACUGUGGC